UUCUUCCUGCCUUCUCUCAAAGGCACAACCCAAUUUUCUUUAAAGUUAUUCACCCCUAAAUUCUACAAAGCCCUGCCUCAUUUUAAGUAUGGUAGCCCCUGACUACUGAUACCCUGUCCAAGUGACGUAGGGCCCCGUAACGUAUGUCAAGGCUUUGCCUAAAUUCGUUGGGGUUCUGUCUCGUGACGUAGGGAUAAAGUAGAAUUGGGUUACUAUACUUGAUGUGGGUACACUAUAUAUUUUAUUAAAUAAUCCAGGAGUUGUACCCAAAAUAUAACAAACCUCCCGAAUAUUUUUCUGACACCCUACACUUCCUAAAAUACACCACAUAUGUGAAAACCGAGCCCGAAAUAUAAUAUAGCAUUAAAAAUAAGUGAAAAACAAGAAAUAGUAAGUUGAGGCGGGCCGCGUAGACCCACCCCAACCAUUCACGCGGGCCGUAUGAAGGUGUAACCGGAUUCCUUUGAUUUCUUAAGUCCAGGCGGGCCGCGUAAGGCCACACCGUUAGUUUACGCGGGCCGCGAGUGUCCCGAUUCGUGGCGCAGCCCGGUGAUGACACGUGUCAUCAUCGUGGCAGGUCUAGAGGAUGAGCCGGACAAGCUAGUCCGUUGACCAGGGUUGACGCGGGCCGCGUGACCCCUGUCCUUUCUUUACGCGGGCCGCGUGGGAACCAGAAUCAGCACCUAUAUAAGCAGGCAUCGGGUUUUAGUAUUCCUCGUUCAUUUCUUUUCUUUCUAAACGAAUUCUGAAGUAGUAGAAGUGAUACGCGGGUAUUAUACCCCCUAAUUAGCGAAGCUCUGCCUCGUUACUAUAACCAAGGAAUCACAAAGGAAAGCCUUAUAAUAGCAAUGUAACUUAGUGUAAAGCCAAUAGAAGCCAGCUGGAGAGCACUGAAGGCUUGGAAAAGUGGCAAUAAAGUUACCUAAAAUAAAAUAGAUGUUUUUAUUAAAUAAAAUAGGAUUUAUUCCUAUGAAAAUGUAUGUACUGAAAAACUUGGGUUUUAUCCCAUGUGUUUAAUAUAAUGAAAAGAAGGUGGUUUUACUCUGAUAAAAUAUUUCCUAACUACGGUCCUGAUGAAAAAUUCCGCUGCCAAAUAGACAAUACGCGAUACCACCGAAACUGGCUCACGGCCGCCCGCUCCUGAGGGAUCGGGGGUUGUGAAAGAAGGUGGUAUCAGAGCUAUGCCACUGGUUCAAGCCAAAGAAGUAGUAUAAGUAACCAAUAUGACUAGACGUACCCAUAGGCUACCUCGGCAGAUGUAUUAUACAACACUCUUAUACAAUUAGUAACUUAAGGUAUCACCUUGAGUGAGAUCUCUUCUUAAAUAAAUGAAUGUACCGUAAUAUAUAUACAUAUAUAUAUAUAUAUAUGUGUGUGUGUGUAUAUACUACUAUGUGUAUAUCAACCUUACUAGGAAAUAUUAAUACACGUUCAUUUUGUAAAAAAUAUUCAUAGAUCAUGGGUAUAAAUUUUAGAUAUUAAAUCUAAAAUCAUAAUUUAUGGUAAAUUUACAUAAGAAAUUGAAUAAUAUUAUGUAUCCACCUUAAAUAAAAGUAUGUUAUUUUAAGUUGAUUCAUAGACUUCAUGAUCUAUACCAUGAUCUAUCCUUAUGAAUGGCGGUAUAGAUUAUGGUAAAUUCCUGAAUUGACCUUAAAUCCAGAAAUCGUGUUAAUGUACAAUAUUAAUUGUAUGUAAAAUAAUUGUAGUAUAGUAUACUUCUAAUAAACAUACGUUAUAAUGCACUAUAAAAAAAAGGGUCUGAUGGUUUGUACAAUCGGUAUAAAAGAAAGUUAAUAGUUAGUGUUUUUAAGAAGUAAAAAUAAAGAAAAUAAAGAAAUCACAACCAAAGAAAGUGAUAAUAAAUGCACAAACUCAGGAAACAGACAAUAACCUAUCAUGGGAAGAUAAACAAUGGGUAAAUCUCCAUAUAUUAGCCACUACAGAAGUAAAUAUUAAUUUAUAGUUGAAUCGCAAAACCAGUACCAGCACCCAUGCCACCUAUGAGCCAGAAAUUUUAAAAGAAAUUUUGCCCAUUAAAUAAACAACCUAAAAGAAAAAGAUAGAAUAAAACCAUACAUAAAAGUAUGUUGAGCAUAAUACUCCUAUAACCUAGAUAGACUAAAAUAAGUUAUGAAUGCAUAAUUCCUAGUAUAUUUUGAACCCCAGUUGUAAUUGCAAUAAAUAUACAUAUAUAUAUAUAUAUAAGUCGCAAUGUUCGCCGUUUUUAAUCAAUCUAUUUUUAUGAUGGUACCCAAAUAGUUAUACUAGAAAUUUGUCUGUGAUAAUUAAUACCACCUAAUCAAAUAACAUUAUAAUAUACAUCAAACUAAGUUAGUUGUUAACAAAGCAAUCAUGUUCACGACUUUCUUUUGGAACCAAUCAUUUACUUUGGUUUAAAAUACAUAUUGAAAUAUAUGGUAUAAAGUUUUAAAACUUUGUGGUUUUAAAUAAUAUUGUCUCAAAAUAAAUUAUAUUUAAAUAAAUAAAACCGAAGCUAGUAAAUUAACCGAAAUGAUUUUGAAAAAAAAAAAAAAAAAAAGUUUGCUUUAGUGGAUUGAGCCAAAGCAAGUUUUUGAAACCCAUGUGUACCAAUUUUCCACUUUAUUUUAUUCCUUCUGGUUUGUAACCAGUUGACCAUAAGACUUUAUACUUUCAUAAUUUUAUGUUGGGAUUAUUUGUAAAGGUUUCUAUUAAAAUACUUAGCGAUAAAAUAAAUGGUUAAAUGAAUAUGAGGGAUAUUCAUGAUUAAAUAAAAUCAUUUAAAUUUUUUUGAUUUGGGUUGAUUAGACUACGUAGAAAUGUCUAACUAAACAUUAAAAGCAUUUCUACAAAUCUUUAAGGUAUGUCCAGAAUAUGUCUUAUGCAUGGAAAUAAUUGAUAUAAGACUAACCCGUCAUAUUAGUUAUAUAAUUGUGUAUCCUAAAUUUAUAAAGAAAAAUAUUCAAGUCAGCUGGUUGAUAUAUAAUAGUUAGUUAGUAAAUGAGUUGAGUUGAUAAACUGGAUGUUAAACUUACUUUAAGUAGUUUCGAAGUUCUCAUACUUUAAAAAGAUUAUAAUAAAGAUGAAAGAGAUGAGAUUGAAUUGUGAUUGGUUAAAUAAUGAAAAUGGAGAUUCUCAUAAAAUAACUGUAGUAAUAAAAUACCAGUGAUGUAAUCGUGACACAAAUAAAGUUGGUUACAUGAAUCUAUAAAAGAUCUAUUUAAUUAAAUACUUGAAAAAUAGAUCUCAAAUAUGUACAAAAUAAAGUAUUAUCUUAACAUAUUUUGAAUAUAAAAUAGACAUACUUUGAUAGUAUGGGAUGAAGUACGUUACAUAAGGU
rnacentral:lncRNA from 1 species